rfam:Oryza barthii chromosome 1, whole genome shotgun sequence.
AAAAAGACAAACCCUGGGUUUCCAUGUCCAACGUUUGACCGUCCGUCUUAUAUGAAAUUUUUUUAUAAUUAGUGUUUUCAUUGUUGUUAGAUGAUAAAACAUGAUUAAUACUUUAUGCAUGACUUGUCUUUUUAAUUUUUUUCAAAUAAGAUGGAUUGUCAAACGUUGGACACGGAAACCCAGGGUUGUCUUUUUU